GACGAACCGUGCGAACGUUGUUCGGAAUCACUGGGCUUAAAGGGCGCGUAGGCGGGCCGCCGAGUCAGGGGUGAAAUCCUCCGGCCUAACCGGAGAACGGCUUUUGAUACUGGCGGUCUCGAGGGGGGUAGGGGCAUGCGGAACUUCCGGUGGAGCGGUGAAAUGCGUAGAGUAUCGGAAGGAACGCCGGUGGCGAAAGCGGCGUGCUGGACCCCGUUCUGACGCUGACGGCGCGAAAGCCAGGGAGCAAAGCGGG
rnacentral:rRNA from 1 species